GCCAGGUUUCACCAAGAACACUUUCAGUUCCUGUUUCCAAUUGAGGCUGCUCCCUGCCUGGGGCCUAGCCUCAUGUACAAGCCCAUUGGCUAGAAUUGCUUAAAUGUCCCACACAAAUAUAAACACCUCUACAGUGUUGGGAAGAUGAAAGGAAUAUCUUAUUGAUAUUGUAUAUGCUAACGUUUGGAUGUGGGACAGGAAAGACAGCAUUUAACUGCUGGUAUGCAAUGCUGAAGCUGGGCUGCAUGAAGAGAUUUUCAUUUACUGAUGUUGGAUACGUGCCCAGACUGCCAUAGUAGAAUUCAGGGAGAAACACAGAAAGGAGGAGAACCACAGAAUGGUUUUCGCGAACAUCCAUAUGGGGCAGAAGAAUAAAUACAUACGAAGACCGUGUCUCCAAAAAUGAAAGAACUGGCCACUGGGGGACAAUUGUGAGCACCCCUCCCCAAGUCUCAACUUAGCCCUCUUCGUUUGUACUCGAAGUUUUCACAAAUCCAAGUGCCUGAGAAGAUUUGGGAACUCAGGAUUUUGAUCUCCAUGAAGCACAUUUAUUUCAUCCUACUUCUCCAUUCCUGGUCUGUUGGCUGAUACACAGGUCCUGCCACUCUCCACAUGCACAGCAACGUUAUUACUUUUUAAAUACGAGACAGCGACAGCGGUUCCCUCCAGUGGAAAAUGUGCAGUCAAAGCCAUUCAGCCACUAAACCAUCACUGAGGAAAACUAGCGAAUGCAGACUGAAAGGAGUUAAGAAUCUGUAGCUCUAUUCCACAUCAAAGAAGAGAAGCAAGAGUUUCUCACCAGGAGCUGUGCUUCCUACAAGACUGAACAUCUGGGCACCAAACUAUGAUGAAGUAGUGAGAUACUCACCACAGGCACAGAAAUUAAGGAGGCACCAAAAAACUCAUUAAUGAAGGUAAACAGUAUUUUAACAUAACUCUUUUUUUUUUUUUAUUUUACUUUUAAGUAAUCUCUAUACCCAACGUGGGGCUUGAACCUACAACCCUGAGAUCAAGAGUUGCAUACUCCACCAACUGAGCCAGUUAGCCCCCCCUUAAUGGAACAUUUUUUAAAAUCAAAAUCAAGAUGAAAGAAAUCUAUGAUCAACCAAAUAUCAAAAUUGUCAAUAAAGAGAAAACCAAUAUGGCUGAUGCUUUUCCCUUAAGCUCAAUAUGGCCCUGGGCAGGCUUGGUUUUGACUGCCUCUUUCCCUCCCCUUCCUACUUUGACAUCAACAGGAAAAGAGAGGUUUGGAGGUAGCUGUUGAUAGCAAUGUCAGUUCUAUUUCCUUAUAGUAAGCCCUGAGGAAGAUGUAUGGCUUCUAGUAUUGACAGGUCCUUUUACAAAGUAAGAAACUUAGUGUGUUGUGAUUUACAUCAGAUGGCCCUACCUCCUGGCCAGUUCAAGGGCAUUACCAGAAGCCCAGCAAGAGUUUUAAAGAGAGAGAAAUUAGAGGCAACUGGGUGGCUCAGUCAUUAAACACCUGACUCUUGAUUACAGCUAGGCCAUGAUCUCAUGGUUCAUGAGAUCGAGCCUGGCGUUGGCCUCUGUGCUGACAGCACAGAGCCUGCUUAGGAUUCUCUCUCUCCCUCUCUUUCUGCCCCUUCAC